rnacentral:rRNA from 1 species
AUUGAACGCUGGCGGCAUGCUUUACACAUGCAAGUCGAACGGUAACAGGUUAAGCUGACGAGUGGCGAACGGGUGAGUAAUGCAUCGGAACGUGCCCGGUCGUGGGGGAUAACACUUCGAAAGAAGUGCUAACACCGCAUACGAUCUAAGGAUGAAAGCGGGGGACCGUAAGGCCUCGCGCGAUUGGAGCGGCCGAUGGCAGAUUAGGUAGUUGGUGGGGUAAAGGCUCACCAAGCCGACGAUCUGUAGCUGGUCUGAGAGGACGACCAGCCACACUGGGACUGAGACACGGCCCAGACUCCUACGGGAGGCAGCAGUGGGGAAUUUUGGACAAUGGGCGCAAGCCUGAUCCAGCAAUGCCGCGUGCAGGAAGAAGGCCUUCGGGUUGUAAACUGCUUUUGUACGGAGCGAAAAGGCUCUCUCUAAUACAGGGGGCUGAUGACGGUACCGUAAGAAUAAGCACCGGCUAACUACGUGCCAGCCGCCGCGGUAA